rnacentral:misc_RNA from 1 species
AUUGCGACCCGGCUUGAGCGGAACUCCUUUUGCGAAGCAAAAGAGUGGGAGCGGAAGACGGAAAUUGUC